GUCAGAGAGCUCCCUGGUCCCUUCUACCAUGUCAGGACGCUGUGAAAAGGCAUCUACCUCUGAACCAUGAAGCAGGCUCUCACCAGACACUCAAUCUGUCAGCAUCUUGAUCCACGACUCCCCGGCCUCCAGAACUCCCAGGGAAGUGAAGUACUUUCUCGGCCACCCCCCCUUGGAAGUGACCAGGUGACAGUUUUGAAGUAAGUGAGAUGUCAACAGACUCCUGUAGGAGUUUUCUGUGAACAUUUUGCUUUCCUGAUGGAAGGGGCAAAGGAGCCGCUCCGCACCGCUGAAUGGCAAAAUGCCCAUCAGAGUUUUCCCAGGGAUCGAUGAGCGAAGAGUUACAGAGAGUGGCAGACCAUUAGAGGCAAACAGAGCUGGCUCCUGCCCCCGGAGGGCACGCAGACAGAUGAACAGAGCCCUUCUUGCCUCUCCCAGGACAUGCAGACAGUUGACUGUGGGAAUUAGGAGAUUUUGCUGGGUGACGAAGAGCAUCAGGACUGCACCCACACACACCUGUGAUAAAACAAUAAAGAGAGAAAAAAAUCAGCUGUGCCAAAGCUAAGUUGCACAAAAAAGACAUGGAAACAAACAAGAAUAAAACAAGAAGAGAAAAUAAUGAGGCUGCAUCACUGGGAGGAAAGAUCUGACUGCGGCCUCCCAGUAGGAACUGUCUUACUGGAGAGUAAUCCAAAGAGAAUACACAAUGGGAGCCCAUGCUUCUUAUCUUGAUGAAAUAGCCUCUAAAUAAUAAAUAAAUAAACACGCACAUAUCAUCCCAGUCGCAGAAACUUGAUUAUUGACUUUGGCAAUCCUUUCUCCAUCUCUUUGUGCCAGUAAAGUUAUUAUAAUUGAAUCGAGAGAGGCAGACGCACAGGCAUUGCCGAGACAAGAUGCUGAGUAGUUGAAAUCAAUGACUUGCAGGGCUGAUCUCCUGCCAAGGGCUGCACCAGCUCCCGGGAGGAAUCCGCCACUCUGGCCAGUGGCCCAGCGCUGCGGAAGCUGCAGGGAGAAGAUACUGCAUCCAAGAAGAAAGACCGGGAGAAACAAAAAAGGAGCAUUCUGAGGCCAAAAUGAAAUUCUUGGAAAUUAAAAACAGCAGAAAU